rnacentral:rRNA from 1 species
GGACUACUGGGGUAUCUAAUCCUGUUUGAUACCCACGCUUUCGUGCCUCAGCGUCAGUUACAGUUUAGCGAGCUGCCUUCGCAAUCGGUGUUCUGUGUCAUAUCUAUGCAUUUCACCGCUACAUGACACAUUCCGCCCACCUCAACUGUACUCGAGGCUACCAGUAUCAAUGGCAAUUUCCGAGUUAAGCUCGGAUCUUUCACCACUGACUUAAUAACCCGCCUACGCACCCUUUAAACCCAGUAAAUCCGGAUAACGCUUGCACCCUCCGUAUUACCGCGGCUGCUGGCAC